rnacentral:misc_RNA from 1 species
UACGUAGGUGGCAAGCGUUGUCCGGAAUUAUUGGGCGUAAAGCGCGCGCAGGCGGGACAAUAAGUCAGUGGUGAAAGCCCACGGCUCAACCGUGGAGGGUCAUUGGAAACUGGGGAACUUGAGUGCAGAAGAGGAAAGUGGAAUUCCACGUGUAGCGGUGAAAUGCGUAGAGGUGUGGAGGAACACCAGUGGCGAAGGCGACUUUCUGGUCUGUAACUGACGCUGAGGCGCGAAAGCGUGGGGAGCAAACAGG